CCUACGGGAGGCAGCAGUCGAGAAUCAUUCACAAUGGGGGAAACCCUGAUGGGGCGACGCCGCGUGGGGGAAUGAAGGUCUGCGGAUUGUAAACCCCUGUCAUGUGGGAGCAAAUUAAAAAGAUAGUACCACAAGAGGAAGAGACGGCUAACUCUGUGCCAGCAGCCGCGGUAAUACAGAGGUCUCAAGCGUUGUUCGGAAUCACUGGGCGUAAAGCGUGCGUAGGCUGUUUCGUAAGUCGUGUGUGAAAGGCGCGGGCUCAACCCGCGGACGGCACAUGAUACUGCGAGACUAGAGUAAUGGAGGGGGAACCGGAAUUCUCGGUGUAGCAGUGAAAUGCGUGGAUAUCGAGAGGAACACUCGUGGCGAAGGCGGGUUCCUGGACAUUAACUGACGCUGAGGCACGAAGGCCAGGGGAGCGAAAGAGAUUAGCUCCCCCGAGUAGUC
rnacentral:rRNA from 1 species